GAUGAACGCUGGCGGCGUGCCUAACACAUGCAAGUCGAGCGAUUUACUUCGGUAAAGAGCGGCGGACGGGUGAGUAACGCGUGGGUAACCUGCCCUGUACACACGGAUAACAUACCGAAAGGUAUGCUAAUACGAGAUAAUAUGCUUUUAUCGCAUGGUAGAAGUAUCAAAGCUCCGGCGGUACAGGAUGGACCCGCGUCUGAUUAGCUAGUUGGUAAGGUAACGGCUUACCAAGGCGACGAUCAGUAGCCGACCUGAGAGGGUGAUCGGCCACAUUGGAACUGAGACACGGUCCAAACUCCUACGGGAGGCAGCAGUGGGGAAUAUUGCACAAUGGGCGAAAGCCUGAUGCAGCAACGCCGCGUGAGCGAUGAAGGCCUUCGGGUCGUAAAGCUCUGUCCUCAAGGAAGAUAAUGACGGGUAACUUGAGGAGGAAGCCCCGGCUAACUAACGUGCCAGCAG
rnacentral:rRNA from 1 species